AGCAAUUUCUCCUGUAAGUUGUUCUGGAUAAGAACGUCUGCUAAAUGACUAAAA
rfam:Salmo salar isolate Sally breed double haploid chromosome ssa13, whole genome shotgun sequence.